rnacentral:rRNA from 1 species
AUUGAACGCUGGCGGCAUGCUUUGCACAUGCAAGUCGAACGGCAGCGCGGGGGGCAACCCUGGCGGCGAGUGGCGAACGGGUGAGUAAUGCAUCGGAACGUAUCCUGUAAUGGGGGAUAACGUAGCGAAAGUUACGCUAAUACCGCAUACGCUCGAGAGAGGAAAGUGGGGGAUCGCAAGACCUCACGUUAUAGGAGCGGCCGAUGUCCGAUUAGCUAGUUGGUGGGGUAAAGGCCUACCAAGGCGACGAUCGGUAGCUGGUCUGAGAGGAUGAUCAGCCACACUGGGACUGAGACACGGCCCAGACUCCUACGGGAGGCAGCAGUGGGGAAUUUUGGACAAUGGGCGAAAGCCUGAUCCAGCCAUGCCGCGUGCGGGAAGAAGGGCCUUCGGGUUGUAACCGCUUAGUCCGGUAAAAGGGGUAGGACGGAGGAGUAAUACCCUUAGUGCUUUGAUGGUACUGGAAGAAUAAGACACCGGCUAACUACGUGCCAGCAGCCGCGGUAA